rnacentral:rRNA from 1 species
CCUACGGGAGACAGCAGUGGGGAAUAUUGCACAAUGGGGGAAACCCUGAUGCAGCGACGCCGCGUGAGUGAAGAAGUAAUUCGUUACGUAAAGCUCUAUCAGCAGGGAAGAAAAUGACGGUACCUGAGUCAGUAGCCCCGGCUAACUACGUGCCAGCAGCCGCGGUAAUACGUAGGGGGCAAGCGUUAUCCGGAUUUACUGGGUGUAAAGGGAGCGUAGACGGUGCGCCAAGUCUGGUGUGAAAUGCCGCAGCUUAACUGCGGAACUGCUUUGGAAACUGGCGAACUAGAGUGCAGGAGCGGUAAGCGGAAUGCCUGGUGUAGCGGUGAAAUGCGUAGAUAUUAGGAGGAACACCGGUGGCGAAGGCGGCUUACUGGACCGUAACUGACGUUGAGGCUCGAAAGCGUGGGGAGCAAACAGGAUUAGAUACCCGGGUAGUC